AGUUUGAUCAUGGCUCAGAGUGAACGCUGGCGGCGUGCCUAACACAUGCAAGUCGAACGAGAACGGAUAUAAGUUUACUUAUAUUGUCAGCUAAGUGGCGCACGGGUGAGUAAUAUAUAGUUAAUCUGCCCUGAAGAAGAGAAUAAUUGUUGGAAACGACUUGUAAUGCUCUAUAUGCCUUUAUCACAUAAGUGAGCAAGGGAAAUAUUUAUAGCUUCGGGAUGAGACUGUACGGUAUCAGCUAGUUGGUGAGGUAAUGGCUCACCAAGGCUAUGACAUCUAACUGGUUUGAGAGGAUGAUCAGUCACACUGGAACUGAGACACGGUCCAGACUCCUACGGGAGGCAGCAGUGGGAAUAUUGCACAAUGGAGGAAACUCUGAUGCAGCAACGCCGCGUGGAGGAUGACACAUUUCGGUGCGUAAACUCCUUUUAUUAGGGAAGAUAAUGACGGUACCUAAUGAAUAAGCACCGGCUAACUCCGUGCCAGCAGCCGCGGUAAUACGGGGGGUGCAAGCGUUACUCGGAAUCACUGGGCGUAAAGAGCAUGUAGGCUGGUUAGUAAGUUGGAAGUGAAAUCCUAUGGCUCAA
rnacentral:rRNA from 1 species